rnacentral:rRNA from 3 species
AGACCCGAAACCCGGUGAUCUAGCCAUGGGCAGGUUGAAGGUUGGGUAACACUAACUGGAGGACCGAACCGACUAAUGUUGAAAAAUUAGCGGAUGACCUGUGGCUGGGGGUGAAAGGCCAAUCAAACCGGGAGAUAGCUGGUUCUCCCCGAAAGCUAUUUAGGUAGCGCCUCGUGAAUUCAUCUCCGGGGGUAGAGCACUGUUUCGGCUAGGGGGCCAUCCCGGCUUACCAACCCGAUGCAAACUGCGAAUACCGGAGAAUGUUAUCACGGGAGACACACGGCGGGUGCUAACGUCCGUCGUGAAGAGGGAAACAACCCAGACCGCCAGCUAAGGUCCCAAAGUCAUGGUUAAGUGGGAAACGAUGUGGGAAGGCCCAGACAGCCAGGAUGUUGGCUUAGAAGCAGCCAUCAUUUAAAGAAAGCGUAAUAGCUCACUGGUCGAGUCGGCCUGCGCGGAAGAUGUAACGGGGCUAAACCAUGCACCGAAGCUGCGGCAGCGAACGUAUCACCCAAGACAACUUUACGGAGUUGACGAUUGACGGAGCGAAGCGACGUCAAAGCGUUCAUUAAAGUCGAGUUGGCUUAGGGAUACGUUCGUUGGGUAGGGGAGCGUUCUGUAAGCCUGUGAAGGUGUGUCGUGAGGCAUGCUGGAGGUAUCAGAAGUGCGAAUGCUGACAUAAGUAACGAUAAAGCGGGU